AGGACGAACGCUGGCGGCGUGCUUAACACAUGCAAGUCGAGCGGUAAGGCCUCCUUCGGGGGUACACGAGCGGCGAACGGGUGAGUAACACGUGGGUGACCUGCCCUCAGCGUCUUGGAUAAGACCUGGGAAACCGGGUCUAAUACCGGAUGGGACUGCUUGCCGCAUGGUGGGUGGUGGAAAGUUUUUUCGGCUGGGGAUGGGCCCGCGGCCUAUCAGCUUGUUGGUGGGUGAUGGCCUACCAAGGCGGUGACGGGUA
rnacentral:rRNA from 1 species